UUGCAAAUGCAGCACAUAUACUAAAACUGGAACGAUACAGAGAAGAUUAGCAUGGCCCCUGCGCAAAUUAAUAAAUAUUAUAAAGUAGCAAUCUCAGUAAAA